ensembl:lncRNA
GGGCAUAAUGAGAGCGUUCCGAAGGGUGAACUGAACUGGUAAACCGGGGAAUAGCGGCAGGAAAAGCGCCGUGCUCGGCAUCCUGGGCGACGGGGGUGUGGCCGCCACAGAGGAAGGAAGUAAACCACAGGAAAAUUAAAGCACAUGUCUAUAUGCAGAGUAGAAAGAAGAUGAGUGGCUGGCCAGUGUGGGGAGAAGAUUCCUGUGUGUAGGAAUCUAAUCACCAGGACACAAUUUUCAAAGCUGGAAGACAAUGAUGGACUCCCAACAGAAAUCACAGAUUUGUAUCUAGUUUGUCCACGUGAAGAUUUUUCUUACUUAUUUUUCUGUCACUUAAAUGUAUCUGAUGCCUCUCACUGCUAAAAUCAGUCUUAUUGGCAGAAGUUUUGAUGCAUGAAAUACAUUAU